rnacentral:rRNA from 1 species
UACGUAGGGGCCGAGCGUUGUCCGGAGUUAUUGGGCGUAAAGCGCGCGCAGGCGGCCUCGCGCGCCCGACGUGAAAGCCCCCGGCUUAACCGGGGAGGGUCGUUGGGGACGGCGGGGCUUGAGGGCGGGAGAGGUCGGUGGAAUUCCCGGUGUAGUGGUGAAAUGCGUAGAGAUCGGGAAGAACAUCGGUGGCGAAGGCGCUCUACUGGACCACAACUGACACUCAGGGACGAAAGCUAGGGGAGCGAAUGGG